GGGGCUGACAGGUUUCGACAUCAGUAUCUGUGGGCGAGCGUGCGACCCGAGUUGCUCAGACUCGCUAAACGGGGCAAAAAACAGAAUUGCCAACGAGCAGUUCGCUCUCGCCGCCUGAUCUUUAGGUGAGCGAAGAGACAUCGUGACCAGAAAUGGCGCACGGGGCCGAUCCACCGCAGCCCGGCAACAGAAGCGGGGGAUGACGGCGAGAAAGACCGCUGACUGUAGGAAAGUCUGCUGACACUCGGCAAAGACCGAGCGGGGUCCGCCGCUUGCGACGGUCAGCCGACCCGCCGGUCGCGCUGCGUUAGCGAGUGAGUCGGGAAUGGUCGUAGCACGGACGUUCACUGCCUGAUGGACGGGGGUUCGAUUCCCCCCAGCUCCACGA
rnacentral:tmRNA from 1 species